rnacentral:lncRNA from 1 species
GGCGAUGUCGUCUUCGGAGCUGCGCCCGCUUCCUGCCGCCUCCUUCUCCGGCGACCUGCCCGCGGAUGCGCUGUACGAGGUCCUCCUCCGCAUCCCGGCCAAGGAGCUCUGCCGCCUCCGCGCCGUCUGCCCGGCCUGGCGCGCGCUCACCUCCAACCCGUUCUUCGUCGCGGCGCACAAGUCCCGCCACCACAAGUAGCCCCCGCUCCUCGCCGUGGCCUACGGAGACGACGGUAAUCACAACGUUGUCGAGAUUUUGGAUCUGUCGGGCAACGUGGUGAAGCGGAUUCCGAAUACCAAGUACAAAUCUGAUCUGAUGUUCGACAGCAUCCGUGUUGUGCGCACGCGGCUGGACCUCAUCUGUUUGAGCUGGGUUGUCUGCUCUCGGGCCUUCUGGGUGCUCAACCCGGCCACUGGAGCUACUAUCGCCUUGCCGUUGGGCUUCUCAGAGGAAUUGGAGCAUGAGCUAGAGGGGAAAAGGCUCUGCCAUUUUGAGUCCUGUGCUUUUGGGCAUGUCUCCUCUACCAGAGAGUACAAGGCGCUCCGUGUCUCUAGCAUUGAUGACCGGCAGGUAAGUGAGGUUAUCACCUUCGAUGACACCAACCAUGGAUGCUGGAGGAGAAAGCAGGACCCUCCGUCCCAUAUCUGUGCCCGUCGCCAGAUGAGACUUGAUGCGGUGAUCUACUUCUUGAUGGAUUUUUACCCCACAUACUGUAAUACCCCGGGGUUUUAAUCACUGAGCCUGGUAGCAUAGCGUCGUUCAACCUUGAGACAGAGGAGUGGGGUGUUCUACCUGGUCCAGAACAGGUGCAGAUGUUUGUGCAAGAGAACGAUGAUUACAGUUACGCAGAACUUGACCUCCAGUUAUCAUUGGCUGAGUUGAACGGCUGCUUAGUUCUGUUUCAUAAUAUUCUUCACAAAUCUAUGGACUUGUGGUUUUUGUCAGAUUCUGAGAAAAGUAUCUGGGUUAAGAAAUACAACAUGCCUUCACAUGUUUCUAGGCUUUAUAGGUAUCCUUUUCUGAUGUUAGAUGAUGGGACGAUUUUCUUCAGUGGGGUGGAUGGUCUACAAGGUUUACUUAGUGAUGGAGAGCAAGGAGAGGGAUUUCUGCUAAGUUAUGAUCCAAGAAACGACACUUAUGGUUAUGCACUAAAACUGAGAGGUUCCCAAUCCAUUGGCAUUUACACAGGAAGCCUGCUGAGUUUAUAGAGUAGCUGUCAGUGAUGAGUUGAAUAAUGCUGGAUGUUUACCUUAUGUUGUGCAUGGGAACAAUUAGUGAGGCAUUGUACUGAUGCAUGGCAAUAAAAAAGUACUUUUGUGCCUUGAAAGUUUAUUAUGUUUAUCUCCGGUACAUUUUGCAUGAGAAGAUUUGCAGUUUUUUGUUUGUCCCGUUUUGUAUGGCAAUUUCAGGAGUUUGGUCAAUGACCAGUUUGUAACGAACAAGCUUUUCAAUGUGGUGUUUCAAAAUAUAAUACGCUGCUCUUUACCCUUUGACGCCAAACCGAUCAUGCUCUUUACCCUGGUGUCAUUGGUGUCACUGAGUCACAUAUUCUGCUUCACUGUUAUCCUUCAAUCUCUUGGCGACUUUCUUUUGUCACCAUUCUUUUACUGAUUUUUGUGCUUGUAGUUCAUCUUCUGCUUCAGUUUUGAAGGGACACAAAAUUAACGAACUCAUGAUGAAUCUAUUUGCUGAUCUGUGGGUAACACAUAUCGAGUGAAUAUUUGAAAAGAAGUCCCGUAAUUGCUGGUUGUGGUAAUUUACAAGCUCUCUUCUCUGCUGCUUCCAUGUAAAAUGGAAAUGAUGGCAAGGAGCUUUUCUGCGAUGAAGAGAGAACUCAGAACCCCAACUCUGAAGAUCAAGGCUUACUGUACAAAGAGUGUACUUACCGCACGGGGUAUUUUGGUCUUUUGUGUCUGGUACUAGUUGGAAAAUUGGGUGUUAUGGAUUUUGGUAUUGUGACUAGGAUUCUCUUCCAUUUUUAGAUCUGUGCUCACGUGGAUGCCUUUUAGAACACGUUCUCUGUUUUAUUUUAUUUUGGAUGAAGUUCAGAACAUAUACAGAAACUCUGAAAUUUUCUAAGAACCAGGGUUUCUUUUGGUAUACUAGUAGACAUGCACGUGUAAGGCACUUCUCACAUAAAAUUUAUCUUUAACAUCCAAUAGAAUUAAUGCCUUCUAUAACUCUUUUCGUCAACGAACAAGGUGGUUGAUUCUAAUCUAGCUUUUGGUACCUUAAAUUACCAAUCAAUUUCUGAAAAACUCGCUCUAUCUUGUAUCUUCAAAUUUAUAAUCUAUCUGGGCGAGAAUGGUUGGCCUCCUGGUGAAUGGAAGCUGGAAAUCCUUGCAUCUUAUUAGAUGCCAUGUAGGUUGUAGUCAAUUGAUGCCAAUCAGAUGUAUAGUGCUUGGUACAAGGUCAAAGGGUAUCUAUGAAAGGUGAAUGACGAUUAACAUAUAGGACAAUCGACGGCUUACCCGCAGUUCAUUAGUUACUUCAACUUCCCAAUCAUGACUUCCAUUCCACAGUCAAGCAACAGUUGUUGACUUGGUAUGUGUAGGCUUGAGGCUGAUCCAAAUUGCACGCACUUGAUCUUGUGACUACAACGUCAAUGCUUACCUCGAAAGUCAUCUAAUGUCUUCACAUUCAUUAUAUUCCAUCCUGCUCGUUGGUCUGGAUGUAUAGAAGUUAAAAUAGUAGUCCCUCUGAUCCGAAUUAAUUUACAUGACCUCUAUACAAUGUAAAAUGGAUAUUGUACAGAGGUUGCGUCAAUAAUUAGGAUUAGAGGGAGUAAUAGGUUGACCCUGGAAUCUUAACAUGUCGAUCCAAAACCCAUGAAAAGCUCCUUGCAAUGAACUGAUAUUUUUGUGACAUUUUCUCAAGGAGAAGAUAGCAAGGUUGGCAAAAUUAAAAAAUAUUAAGAAACAAUGAACCAAUAUAGAUUUCCGGCAGGUUAUAAAAUAAAAAGGAUGUAAACAACAACAAAUAUCUAUUAAAAUAUCCAUCAUUUAUUUUAAAACCGUUCCUCGUGUAUUUAGAACUGUUCCUCGUGUAUUUGAGAAAAGUUCAUUGAAUAUUUAAAAAACCUCAUCCAUUAUUAAAAACUUUUCCUUGUGUUUUUGUAAAUAUUUAUCAUGCAUGUUUGUUAAAAAAUAUGAAAAAUUCCAAAUAAUGAAGUAUUUCGUAAAUUACAUGAACAUUUUCAAAGUAUGUGGACACUUAUUAAAAAUUAAAAUAAUUAUUCUUGAAUACUGUUUAAAAUGCCUACCCAAUAUAAUUUAUAUAGUGAAUUUAUAAAAUAGAGAGAAAAAAGUGAAAACUCAAAAUUCAUAAGUAUAGAGAAAAAAAUGACAACAAAUGUUCAUGAAAAAAAUGAACCAGGGUCAGCGGCGUCGCGAUUUCGGAUUUGUCGGGCAACGUCGUGAAGAGGAUUCCAAGCGCCGGGUACACGUUUGUUAUGAAAAUCACGGGCGAUGCCAUUGGCCGGUUCACAAGCAAGGAGGAUAGCCUCAUUGUUUUGAGCGCGCGGCUAGACCUCGUCUAUUUCAGCUGGGAAGAUUACUCUGAGGCCUUGUGGGUGCUGAACCCGGCCACCGGAGCCACUAUCGACCUGCCAACGGGCUGCUCCAAGUCGUGCGCUAUUGGGCAAGUCUCCUCUACCAGAGAGUACAAGGUCCUCCGCGUCUCUAGAACCGGUGACUACUGGCAGCGGCAGGUAUGUGAGGUUAUCACCUUUGAUGACACCAACCAUGGAAGCUGGAGGAGAAAGCAGGCCCCUCCAUGCUAUAUCUCAUCCAGAUGCAGGACGGGAUCUGUGGUCGUCGAUGGGGUGGUGUACUUCUUGAUGGAUUUUCACUACGCAUACUUCAGAACUCGCAUGAAAACCACUGGACCUGGUAGCAUAGCUGCGUUCAACCUCGAGACAGAGGAUUGGAUGGGUGUUCGACAGGGGCCAGAGCCGGUGCACAGGUUUGUGCAAGAGAACCAGGUUUACGACGGUUACCCAAAACUCAAACUCCAGAUAUCAUUGGCUGAGUUGGACGGCUGCUUAGUUAUGGUUCAUAAUAGAGAAAAGUAUACUUUUCGUCCCUCAACUCUUGAUGAAGUCUAGAUUUGGUCCAUCAACUUCAAAACCGGACAACUUGCACCCCCAACUACCGAAACCGGACAAGGUUCGUCCCUGGACUCGGCUUUGACCGGCUUUUGGUGUUGACUCACCCCGGUUUUGACCGGUGCUCAUUCAUAUUCCUGUAAAUUUUUUAUAUCCGUGAACUCCAAAACUGUGACCAAGGAUACUUUUCAUCCCUCAAUUCUUAAACCCUAACCCUAAACCCUCCACAAGUCCAUAGAAAUUCGGGGUGCAAGUUGUCCGGUUUUGGAGUUGAGGGACCAAAUCUAGACCCCAUGUAGGUUGUAGUCAAUUGAUACCAAUCAAAUGAAUAAUGCUUGGGACAAGGUCAAAGGGUAUCUAUAAAAGGUGAAUGGCGAUGAAGCCUCAUUAGUUACUUCAACUUCCCAAUGGCGAUGAAGCCUCAUUAGUUACAUAUUUUCAAGGAAAAUAUAGCAAGAUUAGACAAAAAAUACCAAAAAAACAAAAAAGAAACUGUGAACCAAUAUAGAUUCCAUCCAGGUAAAAAUAAAAAAGAUUGAAACAACAGUAAUGAUGCAUCAGCUUUGCUUGCUUCAUAAUGGCUAUUACAAAAGGGCAAUUUACAAUCUAGGUUUUUUCUUUUCUUUUAAUAAUGCGGCUGUGUGCAUGAAAAAAGCUCAUUAUUGACGUUGUAUCGGCGCAAAGGUCGAGUGCAAUUGGUAUAUUUUUCUAUAUUAAUAUAUGCCCUUUUUCCAAAAAAACGAAGCUUGGCAGUAGGAAAAUCUUGUUCCCUAGUCGCUGCGGGGAAUACUAUGUUACUCAUACAAAACUUCCACGCGGGAGAUAGUGAGCCAGCCCAUGUAUACAUUGGUUUUAUUCUGAUUUUGUUUUUCCUUUCCUUGUCCUGUAUUUUUAUUUGCUGGUUUAAAUUUAGAACAUUUUUUUCAAAUCAACGUGUUUUUAAAUGUUGUGAUCAUUUUUUAAAAUUUAUGAAUAUUUUUAAAUUAACCAUAUCUUUUAUAUUCUGGAAUAUUUGUAAAAUUCAUGAACAUUUUUCAGUAUCAUGAACUUUUUUCAAAUUGAAGAAAACAUUUCAAAUCCAUGUACAUUAUUUUAGUUUAUUAACUUUUUUUUUCAAAUUCAUGAAGGUUUUAUGAAUUAGUGAACAUUUUUAAAAUUCAUAAAAAUUUUCUAACAAAUCAGGUUGUUUGAAUUUCACGAUUUUUUUCAAAUCUGGAAAAUAAAACGGUUACCUUUUUUUUGAGACAAAAUAAAACGGUUACCUGAGCGAGGGGAAUUACGGACGCGGCGAGGCAAUUGGGCCGCACCCCACGCAGCACAGGCCGAGCACCCGCUAAGAAUUCUUUGUGUCAAUGAGAAAGCGAGAGGCCCAUUUUGUCCAGCCCAACUGAUUGGUACUUCGGGAGAGUCCCAAUCCGCAAACCCUUGACCACUGACUGACCGCCGGCCGCUUUCUCCUCUACGGCGACGCCCGGCCGCCCAGCUGCUCACCGCCGGCGCUCUCGGUAAGGCCAACUCCUCCUCGGCACAGCCCCAUCUGAUUCUGUCGUCGAUUUGGCGCCGUCGACUGCUAACCGACGGCAUCUACUUCCCACAGCCGACGGCGAUGUCGUCUUCGGAGCCGCGGCCGCGCCCCGCCGCCUCCUUCUCCGGCGACCUGCCCGAGGACGCGCUGUACGAGGUCCUCCUCCGCAUCCCGGCCAAGGAGCUCUGCCGCCUCCGCGCCGUCUGCCCGGCCUGGCACGCCCUCACCUCCGAUCCGCCCUUCGUCGCGGCUCACAAGUCCACCCACCGCACGGCGCCCCCGCUCCUCGCCAUUGCCUACCGCGACGACAGUGAGGUCAACGGCGUUGCGAUUUCGGAUCUGUCGGGCAACGUCGUGAGGCGGAUUCCAGUCACCGGGUAUGAGAUUGUUAUGGUGAACGAGUCGGGCGAUGCCGUUCACCGGAGCUCAAGCAAGGAGGAGCAUGAUAGCAUCUGUGUUGUGCGCAGCCGGCUAGACCUCGUGUGCUUCCACUGGAAUGUGUACUCUAGGACCUUCUGCGUGCUGAACCCGGUCACUGGAGCUACUCUCGACUUACCGAUGGGCCACUCAAAGGAAUUGGAGCAUGAGCUGGAGGUACAGGGAAGAAAAUGGGGCUGCCAUGUCGAGUGGUGCGCUUUUGGGAAGGUCUCCUCUACCAGAGAGUACAAGGCGCUCCGCAUCUGUAGCAUUCGUGACCGGCAGGUAUGUGAGGUUAUCACCUUUGAUGACACCAACCAUGGAAGCUGGAGGAGGAAGCAGGACCCUCCGCCCCGUAUCUGUACCGGUCGUCAGAUGAGAUGCGUGGUCGUCGAUGGGGUGGUGUACUUCUUGAUGGAUUUUCACUACACAUACUUUGAAACCGGGGUUAUAACCAUUGAGCCUGGUAGCAUAGCUUCAUUCAACCUCGAGGCGGAGGAGUGGGGUGUUCUACCUGGUCCAGAACAGGUCAAGAGGUUUGUGCAAGAGAACAAGAAAUACAGUUACUCACAGCUUGAGCUCCAGUUAUCAUUGGCUGAGUUGAACG